rnacentral:misc_RNA from 1 species
GAGACAAGUAUAUGACUUCUAGCAAGAUUAACCAGGUAGCAUUCUUCCAAGACACCUUGCGCCGUCGGGCAGUCCUCAAGGGGCACGGCUGUCAUACGUUUCGCGUAUUGGAGCUCAUCUUAAGACCAGGGCACUAGUCCCCGUCUGUGGCUUGUACUACGUCCAAGAGUACUACACUCUACUAUGGGCCACACGACCGAAGAAGGCCCGGUGGAACACGGGGGGUGCUUCACUGUCCUCCAAUACCCUCUAGAAGGUGCCGGACGGAAGCUGAGUACAUGUGUAGCCUUGGUUUCCUUAAGGGGGUAGGCGGCAUAAGAACCAACCUCUGAGGCACCAUCCUACCCCAUGGCAACCGAUAUGGAUUGCCUGCCAACCGUUAAGUAGACCAGUAUGGAGCAGCCGGCAGAGACAAUCCAAACACCAACAC